UGCAAAGGUUUCCGCGGGCCGGACGGAGAUUAGCCCUUGAGUGCAAAGGUAGAAGGGAGCUUGAUUGCAAGACCCACCCGUCAAGCAGGGAUGAAAGUCGGCCUUUGU
rnacentral:rRNA from 1 species